UACGGAGGAUCCAAGCGUUAUCCGGAUUUAUUGGGUUUAAAGGGUGCGUAGGCGGGUAAGUAAGUCAGUGGUGAAAUCUUCAAGCUUAACUUGGAAACUGCCAUUGAUACUAUUUAUCUUGAAUGUUCUGGAGGUCAGCGGAAUAUGUCAUGUAGCGGUGAAAUGCUUAGAUAUGACAUAGAACACCUAUUGCGAAGGCAGCUGACUACGGAAAUAUUGACGCUGAGGCACGAAAGCGUGGGGAUCAAACAGG
rnacentral:rRNA from 1 species